CAUAAAACCAGGAAGUCAGGAAGUGGCUCAAUGUCACUGCAGGCAAUUUUGACCAGUGGGAGUUUAUCAUUGGCAACUGGGACCUGGAGUCAUUACUGUGGACUGAAGCAUGAACACAACCAUCACAGCUUCUCCCACUCACAUGAGUUUAUUGGACAUCUCUACUGCAGCGGAUGCUGGGUGGUCUAGUCCCAUAGAGGAAGAUCAAUAUUCUCCCACAGGUGAUUAUUGAUCACUGUAUGGAAUUGGACUUUUAAGUCAUUCUCUCCGUCCUGCACUUGACUAGCCCAAUGGCCAAGCUCGUCUCUCUGAAUCCAAGUCUACUCAAUACUAGCCAUUUAUUGAGCAUUCGUUCUGUGCUGGUCCCUGAGAUGAGAGCGUUGUUGACAUCAGUCCACAUAAUCCUCUCUGCAGAUGUGUGAGGCUGUGACCACAAGACAACUGAGGCCCCGUGCAGAUUGAACUCAUUUGGUGUCAUGAGCUCAUGAAGUGUCAGGACCAAGAUAUGAAUCCAGAUAUGCUCGAUUUUAGAACAUUCUACCUGUCUUUCCCCAAAAAAGUCACAUUUUGCUUUGCUUCUUUUUUUUCCUUCCUCCCUCAUAUCUCAGGGUCUGAUUUUAGUCUUCUGUCACCUGGCUGCUUCUUGGUGUUUGUUACUGUGCCCGGGUAGAACUGUUUCUUGACCCAUACAACCCUGUAAUUCCUAUACUGCUGGCCUCUCAAAUGGAAUCUCUCUCCCACCCUGGAACUGUCUCACUCAGGCCUUGCCUUUCUUCCUCCCCCUAUGGAAUUGCUGUGCUAUGAAAUAAUAGUGGUGAGUUGUGCAGCAAACUAUAAAGUGACAAAUACGUAAGUGUGAUCCUGUGGAUGAUGUGGAACACUAGGACUUCUGCCCUGGGCCGCUUUUUACAGCUUCUUGUUUAGUGCACAACCUGUGCAGCCAUACGAGGUAGCCCUGCCUCUCCUAUUGUAGGUUUGGGGGCCUAAAAUCCAAGUUAUAACCUGGAAUGUUUCUUGUUUUGUUUUGUCUUAUAAAAUGAUCCUCAGGUCUCACUCUCAGACUCAGAGAAUGAAAACUGGAGAACAGAACUGGGAAUCUCUACUUUUAAUAAAUAUUGCAAGGAAAUUUCAAUAAAUUUUAUGUGCCUAAAAGGAAAUUUCUUGAAAAUGUCUAUGGUCAAAAAUUUCCUUUGUCUCAAUUGGUUAUGUCUAUAGCACCAUUCAGGUGAUGAGACUGCUGGGACCCAGGA
rnacentral:lncRNA from 10 species